AGUGCCAUGGCGACCUACGUGCAGCUCAACACCACAGCCAAGAUGCCCCUUGUGGGGCUGGGCACCUGGAAGUCCUCAGCCGGGCAAGUAAAAGCUGCGGUGAUGGCUGCCAUCGAUGCUGGGUAUCGCCACUUUGACUGUGCCUACGUGUACCAGAAUGAGAGUGAAAUCGGGGAAGGGAUCCAGCAGAAAAUCAAGGAAGGCGUUGUGAAACGAGAGGACCUCUUCAUCGUCAGUAAGCUGUGGUGCACAUUUUACGACAAGCCUCUGGUGAAGGGAGCCUGCCAGAAGACUCUUGCUGACCUGAAGCUGGAUUACCUGGAUCUCUACCUCAUGCACUGGCCUCUUGGGCUCAAGGCAGGAGAGGAGCUGUUGCCCAAAGAUGACAAAGGCAUGCCUAUACCCAACAACACUGAUCUUCUACAGACAUGGGAAGCCAUGGAAGAGCUGGUGGACUGUGGUCUGGUGAAAGCCAUUGGAAUUUCCAACUUUAACCAUGAGCAGAUUGAAAGAAUCCUGAACAAACCAGGACUGAAGUACAAGCCUGCAUGUAACCAGGUCGAAUGUCAUCCAUACUUCACUCAGGAGAAGCUGAUCAAGUACUGUCAAUCCAAAGGCAUUGCUGUGACAGCGUACAGUCCCCUGGGCUCUCCUGACAGACCAUGGGCUAAACCAGAGGAUCCUUCCCUUCUGGACGACCCCAGGAUCAAAGAGAUUGCAGCCAAGCACAACAAAACCCCAGCACAGGUUCUCCUUCGCUUCCAGAUCCAGAGAAAUGUGAUUGUGAUACCCAAGUCUGUCACACCACAGCGCAUUGUGGAGAAUUUCAAGGUGUUUGACUUUGAAUUGACUAAAGAGGAAAUGACAACCAUUCUCAGCUUUAACAGAAGCUGGAGGAUCUGUGCAGUGCCCAUGUAAGUGACAUUGCUUGUUUCCUUCCAGCUCUUAAAUUUUGGACAUUCUUUACAUUUUGUGUUACAGCUACCAAGUAGCAUGAAAUUCAAUUUAACUAAAAAUCAUGCCAACUCAAAUUCCAACUG